CCUACGGGUGGCAGCAGUGAGGAAUAUUGGUCAAUGGGCGCGAGCCUGAACCAGCCAAGUCGCGUGAGGGAAGACGGUCCUAUGGAUUGUAAACCUCUUUUGUCGGGGAGCAAAAGACGCCACGCGUGGCGUUCCGAGAGUACCCGAAGAAAAAGCAUCGGCUAACUCCGUGCCAGCAGCCGCGGUAAUACGGAGGAUCCGAGCGUUAUCCGGAUUUAUUGGGUUUAAAGGGAGCGUAGGUGGAUUGUUAAGUCAGUUGUGAAAGUUUGCGGCUCAACCGUAAAAUUGCAGUUGAAACUGGCAGUCUUGAGUACAGUAGAGGUGGGCGGAAUUCGUGGUGUAGCGGUGAAAUGCUUAGAUAUCACGAAGAACUCCGAUUGCGAAGGCAGUUCACUGGACUGCAACUGACACUGAGGCUCGAAAGUGUGGGUAUCAAACAGGAUUAGAUACCCCAGUAGUC
rnacentral:rRNA from 1 species